rnacentral:lncRNA from 1 species
GCCGGGAGCCGAGUCACUAAAGGCCCCUCGUCAAGUAUUGCACCGUCAUCGUUGACGCCUUUAAGGAAGUUCGCCUGAACUCGUCAGUGCUUAACUACUCCAGAGGUCCUCUGUAUCGGGUUCACGCUCGAACCAUACCGAAAUGUAUUGGGAAUUGCGUUUUAUGCGGGACUACCUGCCAGGUACAUGCGGACAGACGCACUCAAAUCUCGAGUCACGUCCCGACCUACAGCGACCAUUUCACCUGGACCGGAAAGAGGCAUCUAUGAAUUGAUAAAGACUGCCAUAAUAAUCUAAGAAAAGAAGAAAAAAAUGAAAUAUUGAAGCAUCAUGCCGGGGAAGAAAUUUUCCCU